AAAGUCGUAACAAGGUUUCCGUAGGUGAACCUGCGGAAGGAUCAUUACCGAGUUCAUGCCCUUCGGGGUAGAUCUCCCACCCUUUGUAUACCAUACCUCUGUUGCUUUGGCGGGCCGCCUAGCUACUGGCUUCGGCUGGUAAGUGCCCGCCAGAGGACCCAAAACCCUGAAUAUUAGUGUCGUCUGAGUAAAAUUUUAAUAUUUAAAACUUUCAACAACGGAUCUCUUGGCUCUG
rnacentral:misc_RNA from 1 species